GUGUCAGCCGCCGCGGUAAAACCAGCACCUCAAGUGGUCAGGAGGUUUAUUGGGCCUAAAGCAUCCGUAGCCUGAUCUAUAAGUUUCCGGUUAAAUCCACAUGCUCAACAUUUGGGCUGCCGGAAAAACUGUAGAUCUAGGGAGUGGGAGGGGUAGACGGUACUCGAUAGGAAGGGGUAAAAUCCUUUGAUCUAUUGAUGACCACCAGUGGCGAAGGCGGUCUACCAGAACACGUUCGACGGUGAGGGAUGAAAGCUGGGGGAGCAAACCGGAUUAGAUACCCGGGUAGUCCCAGCUGUAAACGAUGCAGACUCGGUGAUGCAUUGGCUUGUGGCCAGUGCAGUGCCGCAGGGAAGCCGUUAAGUUUGCCGCCUGGGAAGUACGUACGCAAGUAUGAAACUUAAAGGAAUUGGCGGGGGAGCACCACAAGGGGUGAAGCCUGCGGUUCAAUUGGAGUCAACGCCAGAAAUCUUACCCGGAGAGACAGCAGAAUGAAGGUCAAGCUGAAGACUUUACCAGACAAGCUGAGAGGUGGUGCAUGGCCGUCGCCAGCUCGUGCCGUGAGAUGUCCUGUUAAGUCAGGUAACGAGCGAGACCCUUGCCUCUAGUUGCUACCAUUGCUCUCUGGAGCAGUGGGGCGAAUUAGCGGGACCGCCGCAGUUAAUGCGGAGGAAGGAAAGGGCUACGGCAGGUCAGUAUGCCCCGAAACUCUGGGGCCACACGCGGGCUGCAAUGGUAGCGACAAUGUGUUCCAAACCCUAAAGGGGGAGGUAAUCAUCAAACGCUACCACAGUUAUGACUGAGGGCUGCAACUCGCCCUCACGAAUAUGGAAUCCCUAGUAACUGCGUGUCAUUACCACGCGGUGAAUACGUCCCUGCUCCUUGCACACACCGCCCGUC
rnacentral:rRNA from 1 species